UUGGCAGCCCCAGGUUCUUAACCAACAGAUUCUUCUCUCUUUUGAUUAGCAACGAUAAACCUGCAUACCAAACAGCAUUUUUACUCGAUACUGGGAAAGUGACCCAAUUCAAUGGAGGGCCGUUUAUGCAACAACCUAGCUUCCAUUUACGACUUGGAUUACUGGAACAACUAAUCUAACCCAAGACUCGAAGAAAAUUUUAGAAUGAUCAAAGGAUUAAUACUCUGGAAAUCAUGCCAUUGAAAGCGGACCAGUGGGACCUGAUGGCAGGAUGCUGGAUAGAUUAGUUCCGAUUUCAAAUCUGGCCGCUAAGAUGUUUCUUAGAUUUAUAACUUACAUCGUGAAAAAGGCGGUCACUUAUGCAGAACUGAGGAAAAUAGUAAAGGGGUGAUAUUAUCUUGCUCUAAGCGCCAAUCGAGUGACAAAGAAAUGACGUCAUGAAAAUAUGUGUGACGUCAUAAUUAAGGCUGAGUGUAAUCCCUGGGAAAUUUUGAGAGAUUGCGAAAUCAGUCAAAAAGAAAAAUUUUACUCACGAAAUAGGCUUUGCCUACAUCAUCUAAAACAAAAGGUUAAAUAUUGUGAAGGCAAAAACAAAACAAGAAAAGGUGUUGAUACUAUUAUAAAAAGAGUUGUGUAGCAUGUGGUGACAAAAACAUUACAAUGUAAAGAUAAAGAUUACAGAACAUAACAUAGAAAGUAACGCGAGAAUCACAGAUAAUAGUUUGUCAGAAGCAUCGCUACAUGUCGCCUUUUUACGAGGCUUGUACUCCGGGCAUUUUGCAUUGUCUGACAUGCAGCUUAACAACUCAUCUGCUUGCUUCCUGCCAAAUGUGUACGCUCCGUGUGCGUAACCAAAGUUAUCAGAAUCUGUUGCAGCUUCGCCGCCGAACCAUAACCUUUUGUUCACUGGAGCUUUCAGAUCCUCGUAAGUGUAUUUGUCAGAGCCAAUCACUGGAGAGGAAUAUGAACCGAAGGUUGUGUUGUCUAAUGACCAGCGGCUGACAAAUAUGCCUGAAACAGUUCAAGAUAAAAUAGUGACAUUUUAAUGUCGGCUUUGAAGAAAAGAAAAUUGCGAGUGACUUUGUUCCAUGUCCAGAAAACCCAGCGUACAUGGGCCUACCACUGGGGCCUACAAGGGCGACUGUGCUAGCCUGCGCGCAGACUCGAUUGGUUUUCCCAGAGAUGAAUUUAAUUGAAUGAUAAAUUUAGAGUUUGUCUCCCAGUAGAGUCUGUGAAUCAGCGACAGCAACUGUGUCCGCUGAUGUCAGCAUUUUGAAACGAUCGUCCAUGCGUGACGCAUUGCGACAGACGCAAGCAAGUUUUGGUAAGGAAAAGUUUGGACGUGCAGUUAUUGUUUUCAUCGCCGUUAUUUGUAUUGACAGUGGUUUUCAAUGGGUUUUUUAAUGUUAGCAGUUGAAAGAAAGAUGUAUUUUUUGUCAAGACAAAUCUAUAUGGAAAAUUAUUUCCUUGGUGAACUGCCAUGCAUGGCGGCAUAAAAGAAGGCCUACUGAUCGUUAUCGAAAAUUCCGUCAAAUGUUUAGCUCUCAAAAGUUGACGUGAAUCUCAAAUUUGAAGGACUUCCUCCGAGACUUUGCAUGCAGCUCCCUGCACUACAGGUUUGAAAAAUCUCGUAAAUGAUACUGUGAACAGAAAUCAACUGAAUAUUGAAGUUGUUUAAAGAGACUCUAACGUUCCCUUAAAGUUGUUGCUAUUCAUUUAAUUGUUUAUAUCUAUUCAAUUUUAAACAAUACAUCUUUAAAUUGUAUUCAUUUAAUUUCUUGCUGAAUCAUAGUGGCUUGAUUUUGGCAAGUUGUUUGUAUUUUUGCCUUUCGAAAAAUUGAUCGAAAUGUAAAUUAAAAAAGACAAUCUUUCAAGGGGCUUAUGAUAAACAAGAGGGUAACGAAUAUUGAUCUAAAUUUUCUAAACUUGGCUGGAAAUCGAGAGGAGAAUGAUAUGGCUGUGAGCUGUUGGGGCAAUGUCUUGGCAAUCCUUAGAAAAAACUUGAAAGAGACUUCUUUGAUCAUAAUAGAAUGAAGCAAUUCCAAGGCGGCAGGAAGCUUGACUAAAGCAUCUUUGGACACUUUUCUCGCUCCAGGCUCCAACUGCGACUAAUCUUCCUCCUGCAGGCUUUUCUUUUGCCAUUUUUAUUUCACAAUAACAAUGGGAAAAGUUUCUACCAAUCAGGAAUGGUUCCAAGAAACUGGGAACCGCACGUGACCUCGGACACGGUUUUUGUCGCUGAUUUGCAGACUCUACUGGGAGAGAAACAUUGAAUUUUCCAAUCAACUAAAUUUCCAAUCAACCAGAUUCAUCUCUGGAAAAACCAUUCGAGUCUGCGCGCAGGCUACGACUGUGCUAGCAAAAUGGUUCAUUGCUUGAUUCUCUGGUGCACACUUUUUUCAAGAAAAAACAGUUCAUAAGAACAUCAAGGCUUGAUUUGCCAAAAAAGGAACAGCCUAAAAAAAGCACAGCCAGUGUCGAAAAACUCCAGAGAACAACAGUAUGCUUUCUAACAUUUUCUGUUUGAAAACAAGAGUUGUUCACUUGUGCUAUUAUAAAAAAGCCAAGUGAUCUUAGAAUAAUUUAUAGAAUGUAAAUGUAGAAAGUGUUUGUUGAAAUAAAAACAACAUUAAGGAAACCCGAGCCACAAAAUAUUCAAAAAUUAAGAACAUCGUAAUUCCCAGCAAAAUUUCUUGGUUUUUACAUAAUAAGUGUAGUUAAAUUAGUGCAUAGCCUAAGUAUACAAACUGUUUAUGAUCCCGAGCUGAAUUAAUCAACGAAAAAUGACGUUAUUCCUGCCAUCAAAAAAAGUGUAGGCCAUCAAACCUGUUGCUGUAGUUGCACUGGGGUAGACUUGUCUCAGUACGGCCAUAACUUCGUCUUUCACUUGGGCAUCUGUCAACUUCUCAACCCGGACACUUUCUCUGUCGGUUACUGUGGCAAUCAACAUUUUCUCACCAGGAAAAAGUCCAGACCUGUCCAAGUUAUGAAAAUGGACGUAGUGGCCUCUUUUCUCACUUGCAACCAAAAUGUACCUUUAAAGACAAUAUUUAGUUUUACCCUGGAAAUUUGCUUGGCCGUCAAAGAUUGACUUUCUAAAAUAAAGGAAUCUUAGAUACAAACAAUCUUUUGGUGGUACAAAACUUGUAAAUGGCUUUGAAAAAAGCAAACAUUUAGUAAACUAAAGCUUUUCGUCUGACACUCUUCAGAGUUUAAAACGUCAGAACAUAGAUCGAAAACUCUACGCUAGGAAAUAUAUAUACCCAGUUGUGGAUCGAAAUAGGCCAAUCAGAAAACACGAGCACAUGACUGUAUAGGUUGACCAAUCAGUGCCGCUUGCCUAUUGAGACUAAAAGCUUUAGUUUACUAAAUGUUUGCUUUUCUCAAGAUCUUAGAUUCCUUCAACGUUUGUGACAUUAAAAGGAUGUAAGGAGGCAUUUUUGAAUUUUUUUAGUGAAAUAACAUUGAAAUAAACCAUGAUUAUGCAUUGGAAGCUACAUGCGAUUGUUUGCAAAAUAAAAAUACAGUAACUUUGGCCAAAGAACAUUACUAUGUAUUUGAUGGGCAAUCUUGAAAAUUCUUAAAUUAAAACGACAAGCAAAAUACAUGUUUGUUUGCGGAACCAAUGAACAAGAAUUGAACAUAUAAAAUUAUCCUAAAUUUUUACUUACUUUCAUUCAGGAAAAUCAUAAGACCUACCUGUUAUCAUCCCAGAACUUGGUUGGGAACUUCAAAAAAAUUUUCGUGUAGUAACCCAUCGGUAACAUAUAUGCAGCCUUUGUUUUCCAAUGCGGCAAAGGAGGGCUGAACUCUACCAUAGAGCUCACGAGAACCCCAGUGCUAAACGUGACGUACGCAUAGUCUGCUUCGUACGUAUCUCCGUUUUUUGCAAGGACAGUGACUUUAUUUGCAUCAUAAGUUAUCUUUUUAACCCGGGUAUUCAGUUUAACUUUGCUUGUAAAAUUCUUCGCAGUUUCCCGCAGUAAGUAAGCGAGCCCACGCGUGUCAACGACGAUUUCAUCACUCCCUUCUCCAGUAAAACCGACGGAUUGGGCACUAAGUAUCCAGGGAGGUGAUUCAUUUUCAAAAUCACUAAAGUAGUAGUCGAUCGUCUUCUCUGCUGGGGUUUCUGGUCGCCAACCUACAAGCUCUAAUGCUGUCUUCAAAGGUAUGUCAAAUUCUCCUGCAGCUGACAUCUUUUCGAUCACUGUGUACAUCUGAAAAUGAUAUUUGUAAGGACUAUGUGCAUCACAUGAAUAAAAAGCUUUAUGCAAUAGAAAACAACAUCUCUCGCCAAGGAAAUUUUCAAUGCUCAUAGAACUUGCGCGAAUUGGGUCAAAUCGGAACCUAGACCAAAAUGAAUUACUUUGAUGAAAAGAAAAAAUCGUGUACAAUAAAGGGGGUUUAUAAUAAAGAGGGCGUAAGAAAAAGGGGGUGUAAAAUAAUGUUUCCAUGUUAAUGUAUUCUGCGUGGAAUAAGAUAGACCGCAAGGUGCGGGACCGUUAGUAAGUAUUCCAAAAAGGUGCACUCUCUAAGAAUGGGGUCAUCCUCGAGAUGGGCCUGUUUUGCGGGCAGCUUAUAAAAAGACUUGACAAUUUUAUUUUACUUUUCAAUUCUGUCGCCUUUUAGUUCUCAGUUUUAAAAUAGAAAUUUUUUGAUAACGUCCAUUAAG